GCCGGUUAAAGCCCAGCCUAAGCAGAGUAAGCCUCAGGGCCUGUGAUCGGAAGGUCGCCGGUUAAUGCCCAGCCUCAGGAGAGUGAGCUUCUGCGCCUGUGAUCGGAAGGUCCCCAAUUUACGCCAAUCCUCAGCAGAGUGAGCCUAUGCGCCUGUGAUCGGAAGGUCACCGGUUUAUGCCGAGCCUCAGUACAGUGAGCCUCUGGGCCUGUGAUCGGAAGAUCGCCGGUUUAUGCCCAGCCUCAGCAGAGUAAGCCUCAGGGCCUGUGAUCGGAAGGUUGCCGGUUUAUGCCCAGCCUCAGCAGAGUAAGCCUCUGGGCCUGUAAUCGGAAGGUCGGCAAUUUACGCCCAAAAUCAGCAGAGUGAGCCUCUGCGCCUGUGAUCGGAAGGUCGCCGGUUGAUGCCGAGCCUCAGUUCACUGAGCCUCUGGGCCUGUAAUCGGAAGGUUGCCGGUUUAUGCCCAGCCUCAGCAGAGUAAGCUUCAGGGCCUGUGAUCGGAAGGUUGCCGGUUUAUGCCCAGCCUCAGCAAAGUAAGCCUCUGGGCCUGUGAUCGGAAGGUUGCCGGUUUAUGCCCAGCCUCAGCAGAGUAAGCCUCUGGGCCUGUGAUCGGAAGGUCGCCAAUUUACGCCCAGCCUCAGCAGAGUAAGCCUCUGGGUCUGUGAUCGGAAGGUCGCCGAUUUACGCCCAGCCUCAGCAGAGUGAGCCUCUGGGCCUGUUAUCAGAAGGUCGCCGGUUUAUGCACAGCCUCAGCAGAGUGAGCCUCUGGGCCUGUGAUUGGAAGGUCGCCGGAUUACGCCCAGCCUCAGCAGAGUGAGCCUCUGGGCCUGUGAUCAGAAGAUCGCUGGUUUACGCCCAGCCUCAGCAGAGUGAGCCUCAGGGCCUGUGAUCAGAAGGCUGCAAGUUUAUGCCCAGCCUCAGCAGAGUAAGACUCUGGGCCUGUAAUCAGAAGGUCGCCGGAUUAUGCUCAGCUUCAGCAGAGUGAGCCUCUGGGUCUGUAAUCGGAAGGUCACCGAUUUACACCC